rnacentral:rRNA from 1 species
GUCGCGGGAAUCCCAGCAAUGGGGGAACCGGCGUAAGGGGCAGUAAUGCGUGGGUACCUACCCUGGGGUUCGGGAUAGCCGUCCGAGAGGGCGGGUAAUACCGGAUGAUCUCGGGAGAGCAAAGCUCCGGCGCCCUGGGAGGGGCCCACGUGAUAUUAGCUAGUUGGCGGGGUAACGGCCCACCAAGGCGGAGAUGUCUAGCGGGUGUGAGAGCACGACCCGCGCCACUCGCACUGAGACACUGGCGAGACACCUACGGGUGGCUGCAGUCGAGGAUCUUCGGCAAUGCGCGCAAGCGCGACCGAGCGACGCCGCGUGUGCGACGAAGGCCUUCGGGUUGUAAAGCACUGUCGAGGGGGAGAAAAGCCCGCAAGGGUGUGAUCUAUCCCUGGAGGAAGCUCGGGCUAAGUUCGUGCCAGCAGCCGCGGUAAGACGAACCGAGCGAACAUUGUUCGGAAUCACUGGGCUUAAAGGGCGCGUAGGCGGGCUGCAAAGUCUGGGGUGAAAUCCGUCGGCUUAACCGGCGAAGUGCCUCGGAUACUGGCGGUCUCGAGGGAGGUAGGGGCGUGCGGAACUGUGGGUGGAGCGGUGAAAUGCGUUGAUAUCCACAGGAACUCCGGUGGCGAAGGCGGCACGCUGGACCUUUUCUGACGCUGAGGCGCGAAAGCCAGGGGAGCGAACGGGAUUAGAUACCCCGGUAGUCCUGGCCCUAAACGUUGAGAACUAGGUAGUAGGCCAGACAUGGGCUUACUGCCGGAGCAAAAGUGCUAAGUUCUCCGCCU